AGCUCCAAUAGCGUAUAUUAAAGUUGUUGCAGUUAAAAAGCUCGUAGUUGGAUCUCGGGUACUAGCAUGUGGUACGCUUUACUGCUGUUACUAUAUGUCUGGUCCUAAUCAAUCGGUUGGCCGUUGAUGCCCUUCAUUGGGUGUUUUCGGUAGCCGGUACGUUUACUUUGAGAAAAUUAGAGUGCUUAAAGCAGGCUAUACGCCUGAAUAAUGUUGCAUGGAAUAAUAGAAUAGGACCUCGGUUUUAUUUUGUUGGUUUUGUAGAGCAUUGAGGUAAUGAUUAAUAGGGACAGACGGGGGCAUUCGUACUGCGGUGUUAGAGGUGAAAUUCUUGGAUCGCCGCAGGACGAACAACUGCGAAAGCAUUUGCCAAGAAUGUUUUCAUUA
rnacentral:rRNA from 1 species